GGUUAAGCGAACAAGCGUACACGGUGGAUGCCCUGGCAGUCAGAGGCGAUGAAGGACGUGCUAAUCUGCGAAAAGCGCCGGUAAGGUGAUAUGAACCGUUAUAACCGGCGAUGUCCGAAUGGGGAAACCCGGUGCACUUCGGUGCAUCAUCGUUAGCUGAAUACAUAGGCUAACGAGGCGAACCGGGGGAACUGAAACAUCUAAGUACCCCGAGGAAAAGAAAUCAACCGAGAUUCCCCCAGUAGCGGCGAGCGAACGGGGAACAGCCCAGAGCCUGAAUCAGCUUGUGUGUCAGUGGAACGGUCUGGAAAGGCCGGCGAUACAGGGUGACAGCCCCGUACACGAAGGCACACAGGCUGUGAGCUCGAUGAGUAGGGCGGGACACGUGAUAUCCUGUCUGAAGAUGGGGGGACCAUCCUCCAAGGCUAAAUACUCCUGACUGACCGAUAGUGAACCAGUACCGUGAGGGAAAGGCGAAAAGAACCCCGGCGAGGGGAGUGAAACAGAACCUGAAACCGUGUACGUACAAGCAGUGGGAGCCUUCGUAAGAGGGUGACUGCGUACCUUUUGUAUAAUGGGUCAGCGACUUAUAUUCUGUAGCAAGGUUAACCGUAUAGGGGAGCCGAAGGGAAACCGAGUCUUAACCGGGCGUUAAGUUGCAGGGUAUAGACCCGAAACCCGGUGAUCUAGCCAUGGGCAGGUUGAAGGUUGGGUAACACUAACUGGAGGACCGAACCGACUAAUGUUGAAAAAUUAGCGGAUGACCUGUGGCUGGGGGUGAAAGGCCAAUCAAACCGGGAGAUAGCUGGUUCUCCCCGAAAGCUAUUUAGGUAGCGCCUCGUGAACUCAUCUCCGGGGGUAGAGCACUGUUUCGGCUAGGGGGCCAUCCCGGCUUACCAACCCGAUGCAAACUGCGAAUACCGGAGAAUGUUAUCACGGGAGACACACGGCGGGUGCUAACGUCCGUCGUGAAGAGGGAAACAACCCAGACCGCCAGCUAAGGUCCCAAAGUCAUGGUUAAGUGGGAAACGAUGUGGGAAGGCCCAGACAGCCAGGAUGUUGGCUUAGAAGCAGCCAUCAUUUAAAGAAAGCGUAAUAGCUCACUGGUCGAGUCGGCCUGCGCGGAAGAUGUAACGGGGCUAAACCAUGCACCGAAGCUGCGGCAGCGACACGUAUGUGUUGUUGGGUAGGGGAGCGUUCUGUAAGCCUGUGAAGGUGUGCUGUGAGGCAUGCUGGAGGUAUCAGAAGUGCGAAUGCUGACAUAAGUAACGAUAAAGCGGGUGAAAAGCCCGCUCGCCGGAAGACCAAGGGUUCCUGUCCAACGUUAAUCGGGGCAGGGUGAGUCGACCCCUAAGGCGAGGCCGAAAGGCGUAGUCGAUGGGAAACAGGUUAAUAUUCCUGUACUUGGUGUUACUGCGAAGGGGGGACGGAGAAGGCUAUGUCGGCCGGGCGACGGUUGUCCCGGUUUAAGCGUGUAGGCUGACUUUCCAGGCAAAUCCGGAAGGUUAAGGCUGAGGCGUGAUGACGAGGCACCACGGUGCUGAAGUGACAAAUGCCCUGCUUCCAGGAAAAGCCUCUAAGCAUCAGGUAACAUCAAAUCGUACCCCAAACCGACACAGGUGGUCAGGUAGAGAAUACCAAGGCGCUUGAGAGAACUCGGGUGAAGGAACUAGGCAAAAUGGUGCCGUAACUUCGGGAGAAGGCACGCUGACAUGUAGGUGAAGCCCCUGCGGGUGGAGCUGAAGUCAGUCGAAGAUACCAGCUGGCUGCAACUGUUUAUUAAAAACACAGCACUGUGCAAACACGAAAGUGGACGUAUACGGUGUGACGCCUGCCCGGUGCCGGAAGGUUAAUUGAUGGGGUUAUCGCAAGAGAAGCUCCUGAUCGAAGCCCCGGUAAACGGCGGCCGUAACUAUAACGGUCCUAAGGUAGCGAAAUUCCUUGUCGGGUAAGUUCCGACCUGCACGAAUGGCGUAAUGAUGGCCAGGCUGUCUCCACCCGAGACUCAGUGAAAUUGAACUCGCUGUGAAGAUGCAGUGUACCCGCGGCAAGACGGAAAGACCCCGUGAACCUUUACUACAGCUUGACACUGAACAUUGAGCCUUGAUGUGUAGGAUAGGUGGGAGGCUUUGAAGCGUGGACGCCAGUCUGCGUGGAGCCGACCUUGAAAUACCACCCUUUAAUGUUUGAUGUUCUAACCUGGCGCCGUGAUCCGGCGUGGGGACAGUGUCUGGUGGGUAGUUUGACUGGGGCGGUCUCCUCCCAAAGUGUAACGGAGGAGCACGAAGGUCAGCUAAUCCUGGUCGGACAUCAGGAGGUUAGUGCAAUGGCAUAAGCUGGCUUGACUGCGAGAGUGACGGCUCGAGCAGGUGCGAAAGCAGGUCAUAGUGAUCCGGUGGUUCUGUAUGGAAGGGCCAUCGCUCAACGGAUAAAAGGUACUCCGGGGAUAACAGGCUGAUACCGCCCAAGAGUUCAUAUCGACGGCGGUGUUUGGCACCUCGAUGUCGGCUCAUCACAUCCUGGGGCUGAAGUAGGUCCCAAGGGUAUGGCUGUUCGCCAUUUAAAGUGGUACGCGAGCUGGGUUUAGAACGUCGUGAGACAGUUCGGUCCCUAUCUGCCGUGGGCGCUGGAGAAUUGAGGGGGGCUGCUCCCAGUACGAGAGGACCGGAGUGGACGCAUCACUGGUGUUCGGGUUGUCAUGCCAAUGGCACUGCCCGGUAGCUAAAUGCGGAAGAGAUAAGUGCUGAAAGCAUCUAAGCACGAAACUUGCCCCGAGAUGAGUUCUCCCUGAGACUGUAAGUCUCCUGAAGGAACGUUGAAGACGACGACGUUGAUAGGCCGGGUGUGUAAG
rnacentral:rRNA from 1 species